UUUACUUCAGCAUCAGUCACAAUAGAUCCAAUCCUGUCAUCAGAAUUGAGUACAUUAUUAAAGUCUCCACUUAGCAGCCAAGCAUUCUGAUUAGGAAUCUGAACUAAUCUGAGAUCACUCCAAAGCUGUUUCCUAAGUGAAGCUGUGUUAUGACCAUAUACCACACUUAAGUGAAUACUGAUCUGAUUCCUUAUAUCUUCCACUUGACAAUGAAUAACCUGAGCAGUUAUGGCUAAUAUAUGCAUUUGAAUAUGAGACUUCCAAAUCAGUCAGAUUCUCCCAUUAGUUGCAUUUGAAUAAUUGCACUGCACCAUCC
rnacentral:lncRNA from 1 species